GAUGAACGCUGGCGGCGUGCCUAAUACAUGCAAGUCGAGCGAACAGACGAGUAGCUUGCUCCUCUGACGUUAACGGCGUACGGGUGAGUAACACGUGGAUAACCUACCUAUAAGACUGGGAUAACUUCGGGAAACCGGAGCUAAUACCGGAUAAUAUAUUGAACCGCAUGGUUCAAUAGUGAAAGACGGUUUUGCUGUCACUUAUAGAUGGAUCCGCGCCGCAUUAGCUAGUUGGUAAGGUAACGGCUUACCAAGGCAACGAUGCGUAGCCGACCUGAGAGGGUGAUCGGCCACACUGGAACUGAGACACGGUCCAGACUCCUACGGGAGGCAGCAGUAGGGAAUCUUCCGAAAUGGGCGAAAGCUUGACGGAGCAACGCCGCGUGAGUGAUGAAGGUCUUCGGAUCGUAAAACUCUGUUAUUAGGGAAGAACAAAUGUGUAAGUAACUAUGCACGUCUUGACGGUACCUAAUCAGAAAGCCACGGCUAACUACGUG
rnacentral:rRNA from 1 species